AUUGAACGCUGGCGGCAGGCUAAACACAUGCAAGUCGAACGAGUGGCGGACGGGUGAGUAAUGUCUGGGAAAUUGCCUGAUGGAGGGGGAUAACUACUGGAAACGGUAGCUAAUACCGCAUACCAUCAGAUGUGCCCAGAUGGGAUUAGCUAGUUGGUGGGGUAACGGCUCACCAAGGCGACGAUCCCUAGAUGGUCUGAGAGGAUGGCGCGCCACACUGGACCGUGGACACGGUCCAGACUCCUACGUUAGGCUGCAGUUGAGAUUAUUGCACAAUGGGGGCAAGCCUGAUGCAGCCAUGCCGCUUGUGUGAAGAAGUCCUUCGGGUUGUAAAGUGCUUUCAGCGGGCAGGCGUUACCCGCAGAGGGAGCACCGGCUAGCUCCGUGCCAGCAGCCGCGGUAAUAC
rnacentral:rRNA from 1 species